rnacentral:rRNA from 1 species
GCAAAUUACCCACUCCCGGCACGGGGAGGUAGUGACGAAAAAUAACGAUACGGGACUCAUCCGAGGCCCCGUAAUCGGAAUGAGCACACUUUAAAUCCUUUAACAGUAUCCAUUGGAGGGCAAGUCUGGUGCCAGCAGCCGCGGUAAUUCCAGCUCCAAUAGCGUAUAUUAAAGUUGUUGCGGUUAAAAAGCUCGUAGUCGGACUUGUGUCACACGCUGCCGGUUCACCGCCCGUCGGUGUUUAACUGGCAUGCACGUGCUGACGUCCUGCCGGUGGCCCAAGCCGGUCCGGGAGCUCUUGGUGCGGGAUUCCCUUCGGGGGCCCUGCCUCGAACCCGGUCUCUGGGGAGGGCCUACUCAUACCCCUCGUGGUGCUCUUAACCGAGUGUCUCGAUGGGCCGGCACGUUUACUUUGAACAAAUUAGAGUGCUUAAAGCAGGCAGCAUCCGCCUGAAUACUGAGUGCAUGGAAUAAUGGAAUAGGACCUCGGUUCUAUUUUGUUGGUUUUCGGAAUCCCCGAGGUAAUGAUCAAUAGGGACAGACGGGGGCAUUCGUAUUGCGACGUUAGAGGUGAAAUUCUUGGAUCGUCGCAAGACGGACCGAAGCGAAAGCAUUUGCCAAGAAUGUUUUCUCUGAUCAAGAACGAAAGUUAGAGGUUCGAAGGCGAUCAGAUACCGCCCUAGUUCUAACCAUAAACGAUGCCAGCCAGCAAUCCGCCGAAGUUCCUCCGAUGACUCGGCGGGCGGCUUCCGGGAAACCAAAGCUUUUGGGUUCCGGGGGAAGUAUGGUUGCAAAGCUGAAACUUAAAGGAAUUGACGGAAGGGCACCACCAGGAGUGGAGCCUGCGGCUUAAUUUGACUCAACACGGGAAACCUCACCAGGCCCGGACACCGGGAGGAUUGACAGAUUGAGAGCUCUUUCUUGAUUCGGUGGGUGGUGGUGCAUGGCCGUUCUUAGUUGGU